rnacentral:rRNA from 1 species
AUUGACGCUCGCGUCAGGCCUACCACAUGCACGUCGAGCAGCGGCGGACGGGUUAGUCAUGCCUAGGAAUCUGCCCUGUAGUGGUGGAUAACGUCCGGCAACCGGCGCUAAUACCGCAUACUCUCAGAUGCGCCUCGGUCCGGGUAGCUAGUCGGUGGUGUAAAGGCUCACCUAGCCGACGAUCCCUAGCUGGUCUGAGAGGAGGACCAGCCACACGGGAACUGAGACACGGUCCAGACUCCUACGGGAGGCAGCAGUGGGGAAUAUUGUACAAUGGGGGCAAGCCUGAUGCAGCCAUGCCGCGUGUAUGAAGAAGGCUUGCGGGUUGUAAAGUACUUUCAGCGGGGAGGCGGUACCCGCAGAAGAAGCUCCGGCUAACUCCGUGCCAGCAGCCGCGGUAAUUC